GAAACUAACCAGGAUUCCCUCAGUAAGGGCGACUGAAGCGGAAGUGCUCAGGAUGUGAAUCUGCGCUAUGCGCCGAAUUGUGGUCUGUAGACUGUGACAUUAUUGGCCGGGCCAAGUCCCUUGGAAAAGGGCAGCAGAGAGGGUGAGACUCCCGUCCGCCUGGCCGAGUGAGUCGCUAGUCAACGAGUCGAGUUGUUUGGGAUUGCAGCUCUAAGUGGGUGGUAAAUUCCAUCUAAAGCUAAAUAUUGGUGGGAGACCGAUAGCGUACAAGUACCGUGAGGGAAAGAUGCAAAGAACUUUGAAAAGAGAGUUAAAGAGUACCUGAAAUUGCUGAAAGGGAAGCGAAGGAAACCAGUGUUGAAUGUGUCAUACUUCCUGAUCCGCUUGCGGAUUGGGCGCUGUGUCAUGUUUUGGGUUGUCCUUGGUUGGUCGCGAUGGAAGAGCGCUAAAGGAGUUGACUUUGGUUGCUAGCAUUGCUUCUGACUGAGGAGGACGAAAUGGUUUUCUUUACCCCGUCUUGAAACACGGACCAAGGAGUCUAACAUAUGUGCGAGUAUAGGAGUGUCAAACUCCCAUGCGCAAUGAAAGUGACAGUGGUUGGACCUUUGGGCACAAUCCGCCGGCCUCAAUCCUUCGGGAGAACGGUCUGAGUGUGAGCAUACAUGUUGGGACCCGAAAGAUGGUGAACUAUGCCUGAAUAGGGUGAAGCCAGGGGAAACUCUGGUGGAGGCUCGUAGCGAUUCUGACGUGCAAAUCGCAUCGUCAAAUUUGGGUAUAGGG
rnacentral:rRNA from 1 species